rnacentral:lncRNA from 1 species
GGAUGAUUAAGAGAAAGCUACAGAAGGUAUAUAUUAUCGUAUUUGAUAUUUCUAUUCAUCUUAUUGUUUAAUUAUAAUUAAUGAAUAUGUUUGCAAUGUUUUUAUCUUUACACAGAGUUUGAAUCAUGUGUUACACAGUUGAAGAUGUUGCGUCAAUUAGUAUCGACUAAUAGGUUAGAACGAAACUGUAUCUGUUAUGUUGUUGCAUUCUAAUGAUUUGAAGUGUAGAUCUUUGGUUUAAAAUAUCUGUAAUGAUAUCGAUAUUUAUGUUUUAAUGUGAGAUUUU